GUGGGGAAUCUUGGACAAUGGGGGCAACCCUGAUCCAGCGACGCCGCGUGGGUGAUGAAGGCCUUCGGGUUGUAAAGCCCUUUCGACGGGGACGAUGAUGACGGUACCCGGCGAAGAAGCACCGGCUAACUCCGUGCCAGCAGCCGCGGUAAGACGGAGGGUGCUAGCGUUGUUCGGAAUCACUGGGCGUAAAGGGCGCGUAGGCGGCCUUGGCAGUCGGCUCGUGAAAGCCCGGGGCUCAACCCCGGAGGUGCGGCCGAUACACCGAGGCUUGAGGCCGGAAGAGGAGGGUGGAAUACCCAGUGUAGAGGUGAAAUUCGUAGAUAUUGGGUGGAACACCGGUGGCGAAAGCGGCUCUCUGGUCCGGACCUGACGCUGAGGCGCGAAAGCGUGGGGAGCAAACAGGAUUAGAUACCCCAGUAGUCC
rnacentral:rRNA from 1 species